UAUUUUAUAUUAUUUGAGACUAUUGUGAAGU
rnacentral:piRNA from 1 species